UUGUAGCCAUGUCGAAAAGAAAAUCUCCUCAAAAAGCAUCCAAGAUGCUAAGGCAUAUAGGGAAGGACUUGGACCACAGGAAAAAGUGUGAUAUUUCGAAAAAUUAGGGUUUAAUGGCGGUGCAGAUCCCUACGAGUUGGCUCCCUCUUCUUGGAUCCAUGGUGAUUCUUCCUUCAGUUGCAUAUCCCGAUAUCGUUAACUGGUUUUCUCACCGAGCCCAUGCACAGCGGAAGACCUUAAAUCCUACAAUGGUUUGGAGGCCUAUAACCAGAUGGUGUGUGGAUGGGUGAGGGAGUGGCAGUACCAAGUCAUCAACGACCGUUGUGUUGUGAAAGCGAGAACAAUUGCAGUAGCAUCAUUUAUUGUCUGCCACCCAGUGGUUAAACAUAGAAAUCCAGUCCCUCAAUGUUAUAUUUCAAAGGAUUUUUCCAACCUGAAGUGAAACCAGAGGGACCUCAAUCUUCAUUCAUUUGGUGUGCCAUGAACUCCCUCAAAACAAAGACACACUGUAGCCUACACCGGGUUGCCCUUUUUACCCUAUUUACCCUCAUGCUGUUUUAGAAAUGACUCCAUUAUUGCAAUAGGGACUCUGGCACCACUUCUACUUCGGAGGUUCUUGAAGGAUGGCUGCUUUACCUGGAAGGAAGGAUGGCUUUACCAGCGGGACUCAUCGUCAGUUGUGUACCUCAGCAUCACAGGGUGUUUCGGCCAAUUAUCACAAUACACACUCUGCUGAGGCAGGCCCACCACAGGUUGAUUAAGUGUGUGACCCGCAGUUAGCUGUUUGCCUUAGAAGCCCAGGUGGUGUCGCUCCUCUUCAGCCACAGCCAAUGGCUUGUCCUCUCGGCGGUGUUGGCCAGCUCUUUUAAUGGCUUGAAUGAGAGCCAGUACAACACCAGUGUUCGAUUCCUCAAUUCAUUAUUAGGGCUUUUUAGCCUUUAGUCAAUAAUGAACAGAUGAUAGGAGAUGAGUGGGAGGAAGAUGGGGGGAGGGUUUGUGAAAUUACCUCAUGUCGAACUACUGGCUCCUGGAUGUGAAGUCAGGUCUUCCAGAAAUAUUAUUUUUUUCUUUAAUCAAGUAGAAAUAAGAUAUUUUGCAGAAUAAUCUUGAAUUGUUAUUUUUACUAAUCUGAUGAUUUUCAUGUUUUCAGUAAUCUUGAAUUGUUAGUUUUACUAAUCUGGAGAUUUUCAUGUUUUCAGUAACUCGGAACUGGCAUUGAGAUAAUUUAUUCAUAAUGAAAAUAAUUCAGUAAUAUCCACCAUAAAUGUUUGAACUAGAAAAUUGUUGUAAAACGAAUCAACAGUGUUGUAUGUCAACAGUAGCCCACGAGUAGAUCAUGCCAUUGGUGUAUAAGAAAAAUCUACACAAGAUUUCUAUUUCUAUUUCUACGUAUUGGCUACAUUUAAUAUAACACACAUAUAGCACAUGUCUAAUGUCCUCAUCCUCAUGUCACAAAUACAUGUAAAUGCAUAUGAAUACAACCUUUCAGCCAAGCAUGGUUAAAACAAUGGAGGUAGAUGAAUAGCAUACAAUUAGAGGUGGAGGAUUAGGCCGAGUAGUACUUAGAUUAAGUUGAAGAGAGCACCUAACUUUUGGAAUAACUUUGACAUUAAAGUGAGUGCUGAUGAAUUUACAUAUGCAUGGACUUAUUCCUGAACCCACAAAUGUAUCUUAAGUUACUGUGCAGUGCUGUACAGUAGUAUAGAGUAUAGAAUAGUGCAGUAGUGAUCGCCGACAAUGAUGAGUAUAGUCCAGUGAAGAAUAUUACACUAUAUAGUGUAUAAUAAGUCCCUUUUCUAGGUCCUUUUUCUGGCUGUUAGAGAAUGUUGGGAUAGAUCUCUCCCUCUCAUGAUUGGGUCACUUCCUGGCUCUCACUCCUGUUCUUACUCACUGACCCUUAAAACACAAAUGUGUGUGUGUGUGUGUGUGUGUGUGUGUGUGUGUGUGUAUGUGUGACAGUUCAUAUAAUAUUAUACACCUCUGUUUUGUUGUAUGAGAUGCUGACACUUCUCUUGCUUGGAGCCAUGUUUCUUCUCCCGUGUGUGUAAUUGUAAUGUGUCAGGAGUAGUCACGGCGAUGCAGCGUCACCUGCUCCAGAGCAGCUCUCCGCCUUUCCCAGAAUUCCCUUGGAGGGGGGUACUGUCAAAGCCACCCGCAGGGUGAUGUCAUCAGGUCACAACAUUUUCAUAUGGCAGGCGAGGAAACGGAGAGGUCAAGAAUGAGGAGACGUGUUUCUGCGUGUGUGUAUGUGUGUGUGUGUAUGUGUGUGUCUGACAGACAGAGAGAGAGAGAGAUCGGUGAGUGAGUGUGGAUAUGUGUGUUGUGUAUAUGUAUGUGUACUUGUGUGUGUG